rnacentral:rRNA from 1 species
UAGGUGACAAGCGUUGUCCGGAUUUACUGGGUGUAAAGGGCGCGUAGGCGGAUGUGCAAGUCAGUCGUGAAAUGCCGGGGCUUAACCCCGGAGCUGCGAUUGAAACUGUACACCUUGAGUAUCGGAGAGGAAAGCGGAAUUCCUAGUGUAGCGGUGAAAUGCGUAGAUAUUAGGAGGAACACCAGUGGCGAAGGCGGCUUUCUGGACGACAACUGACGCUGAGGCGCGAAAGUGUGGGGAGCAAA